AACAUAAAGUUUUGGUCCUAGACUUACUGCUACUUUUAAUCAAAAUUACACAUGCAAGCNUCCGCUCACCAGUGAAAAUGCCCAAACUAGCGACAAAGGAGCAGGUAUCAGGCACGAACUUCAGCCCAAAACACCUUGCCAUGCCACCCCCACACGGGACACCAGCAGUGAUAAACAUUAAGCAAUAAACAAGCCCCCCAUUUGACUUAGUUAUGAUUACUAGGGCCGGUCAACCUCGUGCCAGCCACCGCGGUUAUACGAGGGGCCCAAAACAGCAGUACCCGGCGUAAAUAGUGACUAGAAUNUCCGCCCUACUAGAGAAAUAAACUACACCCCAGCCGUAAAACCCGGAGUAUAUGAAAACCCCCCUCUCUAAAACCAGCAGCUUUGACCCCACGAAAACUAAGAAACAAACUAGGAUUAGAUACCCUACUAUGCUUAGUUGUAAACACGACACCCACUAACAACAGUGUCCGCCAGAAUAUUACGAGCGAAAAGCUUAAAACUCAAAGGACUUGGCGGUGCUCCACAUCAACUUAGAGGAGCCUGUCCUAUAAUCGAUACUCCACGUUAAACCUUACCAUCUUUUGCCCCCAGCUUAUAUACCGCCGUCGCAAACUCACCCCACAAGGGCCCAACAGUAAGUACAAUAGCCCUCACAAAAACGUCAGGUCAAGGUGUAGCUAAUAAGAUGGCAGCGAUGGGCUACAUUUUUUAAUAUAAAACACUACGACAUGGAACUAUGAAAUACCCCCUGAAGGCGGAUUUAACAGUAAACAAGGCAAGAAAGCCUUUCUUAAACUCGCUCUGGAGCACGCACACACCGCCCGUCACCCUCCUCAACAAACAAUAAAAUCUACAUAAGCCCUAAAACAAAACAAGAGGAGGUAAGUCGUAACAUGGUAAGCGUACUGGAAAGUGCGCUUGGAUUACAAAAAGUAGCUUAAACCAAAGCAUCUAACUUACAAUUAGACAAUCUUAGAAUCUUUUUGCGCCCAAAACCUAGCUCAACAACCAGCACAAACUAAUCACAAACCAAUCAAACCAUUUGACAAGACCAGUAGAAGCGAUCAAAC
rnacentral:ncRNA from 1 species